rnacentral:rRNA from 1 species
UACGUAGGGAGCAAGCGUUGUCCGGAAUCAUUGGGCGUAAAGCGCGCGUAGGCGGCCCUGUAAGUCCGUUGUGAAAGUCAAAGGCUCAACCUUUGAAAGCCGAUGGAUACUGCAGGGCUGGAGUCCGGAAGAGGCGAGUGGAAUUCCUGGUGUAGCGGUGGAAUGCGCAGAUAUCAGGAGGAACACCAAUAGCGAAGGCAGCUCGCUGGGACGGUACUGACGCUGAGACGCGAAAGCGUGGGAGGC